GUUUCUACCGCUGACUGUUUCUACUGCUGAUUCUACUGCCGAAGGUUUCUACUGUCGAUUCUACUGCCAAAGGUUUCUACUGUCGAAAGUUUGUACUGCUGCAGGUUUCUGCUGCUGAGUUUUUCUGCUGCUGAGUUUUUCUACUGCUGAGUAUUUCUAGUGCUGACUGUUUCUAGUGCCAAAGGUUUUUACUGCUGAGUAUUUUUACUGCCAAAGGUUUCUACUGCUGAGUGUUUCUGCUGCUGAAGGUUUCUGUUGCUGAAAGUUUUGACUGCUGAGUGUUUCUACUGCCAAAGGUUUCUACUGCCAAGUGUUUCUACUGCUGAGUGUUUUUUUACUGCUGAUUAUUUUUACUGCCGAAGGUUUCUACUGCUGAGUGUUUCUAGUGUCGGGUGUUUCUGCUGCCAAAGGUUUCUACUGCUGAGGUUUUUUUUACUGCUGAGUAUUUUUUACUGCUGAAGGUUUUUACUGCUGUAUGUUUUUUUUUUACUGCUGAGUAUUUUUACUGCCGAAGGUUUCUACUGCUGAGUGUUUCUAUGCUGAGUGUUUCAGCUGCUGAAGGUUUCUACUGCUGAGUGUUUCUACUGGUACGGGGCGAUCGUGGCUCAAGAGUUGGGAGUUCGCCUUGUAAUCGGAAGGUUGCCGGUUCGAGCCCCGGCUUGGACAGUCUCGGUCGUUGUGUCCUUGGGCAAGACACUUCACCCGUUGCCUACUGGUGGUGGUCAGAGGGCCCGGUGGCGCCAGUGUCCGGCAGCCUCGCCUCUGUCAGUGCGCCCCAGGGUGGCUGUGGCUACAAUGUAGCUGCCAUCACCAGUGUGUGAAUGGGUGGAUGACUGGAUAUGUAAAGCGCUUUGGGGUCCUUAGGGACUAGUAAAGCAUUAUAUAAAUACAGACCAUUUAGUGCUGAGGGUUUUUUACUGCUGAAG
ensembl:lncRNA